UGUUGAGGCAGAGUAUUGACUUGAGCGUCGGAGGGUCUUGCCGGAGCACCCCCAUCUCCGGUUUAGACUUUUCUUGCAGGUCCCGACGACAGGCGCGAUCCCCUCGACUCCAGCUUCUCCGGCAUCGACGAAAUUCUGCACUAACAAAAAUCAUAAUCAUACAACAUGAUUAUAACUAAGCAUCUUAAGUAUAUCACAUAUGCAUAAAGUUCUAAUAACAUGCAUGAAUACAAAAUACUCUUUUCGCGAUUCUUCUUCUUGGGACAUCACAAUGGCACCCCUACAUGCCAUAAGAGUACCCUAUAGAAUAGAAAGAGAGGAUUUUUAAACCCUACAUACUCU
rnacentral:lncRNA from 1 species